rnacentral:rRNA from 1 species
GGCUGAAACCCGCCUCCAUGAAGUUGGAUUCGCUAGUAAUCGCGCAUCAGCCAUGGCGCGGUGAAUACGUUCCCGGGCCUUGUACACACCGCCCGUCAAGCCAUGGGAGCCGGGGGUGCCUGAAGUUCGUGACCGCAAGGAGCGACCUAGGGCAAAACUGGUGACUGGGGCUAAGUCGUAACAAGGUAAC